rnacentral:rRNA from 1 species
GACGAACGCUGGCGGCGUGCCUAAUACAUGCAAGUCGAGCGGACCAACCAGGAGCUUGCUCUUGUUUGGUUAGCGGCGGACGGGUGAGUAACACGUGGGUAACCUGCCCGUAAGACCGGGAUAACUCCGGGAAACCGGAGCUAAUACCGGAUAACACCGAAGACCGCAUGGUCUUUGGUUGAAAGGCGGCUUCGGCUGCCACUUACGGAUGGGCCCGCGGCGCAUUAGCUAGUUGGUGAGGUAACGGCUCACCAAGGCGACGAUGCGUAGCCGGCCUGAGGGGGUGACCGGCCACCCUGGGACUGAGACACGGCCCAGACUCCUACGGGAGGCAGCAGUAGGGAAUCUUCCGCAAUGGACGAAAGUCUGACGGAGCGACGCCGCGUGAGCGAAGAAGGUCUUCGGAUCGUAAAGCUCUGUUGUUAGGGAAGAAGAAGCGCCGUUCGAACAGGGCGGCGCGGUGACGGUACCUAACGAGAAAGCCCCGGCUAACUACGUG